rnacentral:rRNA from 1 species
UCCUACGGGAGGCAGCAGUAAGGAAUAUUGGACAAUGGACGAAAGUCUGAUCCAGCCAUGCCGCGUGCAGGAUGACAGCCCUAUGGGUUGUAAACUGCUUUUAUACAGGAAGAAACACUCCGACGUGUCGGAGCUUGACGGUACUGUAAGAAUAAGGAUCGGCUAACUCCGUGCCAGCAGCCGCGGUAAUACGGAGGAUCCAAGCGUUAUCCGGAAUCAUUGGGUUUAAAGGGUCCGCAGGCUGUUUUUUAAGUCAGAGGUGAAAUCCUGCAGCUCAACUGUAGAACUGCCUUUGAUACUGGAAAACUUGAGUUAUUGUGAAGUGGUUAGAAUGUGUGGUGUAGCGGUGAAAUGCAUAGAUAUCACACUGAAUACCGAUUGCGAAGGCAGAUCACUAACAAUAUACUGACGCUCAUGGACGAAAGCGUGGGGAGCGAACAGGAUUAGAUACCCUGGUAGUCCACGCCGUAAACGAUGGAUACUAGCUGUUCGUCUAACAUUGGUUAGAUGAGUGGCUAAGCGAAAGUGAUAAGUAUCCCACCUGGGGAGUACGGUCGCAAGACUGAAACUCAAAGGAAUUGACGG